CUCUUGAUUCCACGAAGAUUAAAACGUGGAGAAUGACACAAAUCAAACCCAAAACCACGUCCCAUGAAAGUACCAAAUUCAAAUUACUUAAAUUGAGGGUGCAGGCGUAAAUGGAUCGAUAGCCCAUCCAGAACGGACUGUUUUCUUGUACCAUUCGUAACGAAUUAUAGACACGUAACGAUCUAUAGCUGCCAACAGCAGACACUGCAGGAGGAUUGAGUAAUCCAUCGGAUAAAGUAAAACUAGAAUUUGACACAACUGUUGAUCACGAUAGAGGACGACAGUCAAUUCCAGUGCGUAUUCAAGCAAGAAGAGACACUCGAAGAACGAAAUGGCAACCCAGAAGAUGUGACGCGGAUAACGUAACUGUCUGGAACUGCUCACUACUAAGACGACGGUGCAAUUCAAUAAAAUCCCCACAGCGAUGAUCAAAGUGCGAUAGAAUUCCUGCGUGAUUGAGAAGUUUUGUUCCAUGAUCUGGUAUUCGAGCAAAUUGAGCGAUACAUUUGUUGCAGGCUUCUAUAUAACCACUUGUUACCUCACUGGCGAUGAAUUCUUCCCGCAUGCGCGGCAAUUAUUCGAAUAUAGCGACUGUCGAACUUUUCCAUUACAGUAAUAAGAGAUUGUACAGCACACCCUCGAGAACACACGAAUUGUCAAUAACGGCUCCGUGGUGAGAUGAUUAAACGCAGCAGUCAGCCUGAUCUACUUAUUGAUAGCUCUCGCAAAAUGAAACAGAACUUUGCAUCUCAAAUGCUAUUACGAACUGACGUG